UACGUAGGGGGCUAGCGUUGUCCGGAAUCAUUGGGCGUAAAGAGCGUGUAGGCGGUCCUGUAAGUCCGCUGUGAAAGUCGGGGGCUCAACCCUCGAAUGCCGGUGGAUACUGUCGGGCUAGAGUGCGGAAGAGGCGAGUGGAAUUCCUGGUGUAGCGGUGAAAUGCGCAGAUAUCAGGAGGAACACCUAUUGCGAAGGCAGCUCGCUGGGACGUAACUGACGCUGAGACGCGAAAGCGUGGGGAGCAAACAGG
rnacentral:rRNA from 1 species